rnacentral:rRNA from 1 species
AACGAACGCUGGCGGCAUGCCUAACACAUGCAAGUCGAACGAGACCUUCGGGUCUAGUGGCGCACGGGUGCGUAACGCGUGGGAACCUGCCCUUAGGUUCGGAAUAACUCCCCGAAAGGGGUGCUAAUACCGGAUAAUGUCUUCGGACCAAAGAUUUAUCGCCUUUGGAUGGGCCCGCGUUGGAUUAGCUAGUUGGUAGGGUAAAAGCCUACCAAGGCGACGAUCCAUAGCUGGUCUGAGAGGAGGAUCAGCCACACUGGGACUGAGACACGGCCCAGAAUCCUACGGGAGGCAGCAGUGGGGAAUAUUGGACCAUGGGCGAAAGCCUGAUCCAGCAAUGCCGCGUGAGUGAUGAAGGCCUUAGGGUUGUAACGCUCUUUUACCCGGGAUGAUAAUGACAGUACGGAGAAUAAGCUCCGGCUAACUCCGUG